rnacentral:misc_RNA from 1 species
GAAAUGCGAUAAUUAAUGUGAAUUGCAGAAUUCAGUGAAUCAUCGAGUCUUUGAACGCACAUUGCGCCCCCUGGUAUUCCGGGGGGCAUGCCUGUCCGAGCGUCAUUGCUGCCCUCAAGCACGGCUUGUGUGUUGGGCUUCCGUCCCUGGCAACGGGGACGGGCCCAAAAGGCAGUGGCGGCACCAUGUCUGGUCCUCGAGCGUAUGGGGCUUUGUCACCCGCUCCCGUAGGUCCAGCUGGCAGCUAGCCUCGCAACCAAUCUUUUUAACCAGGUUGACCUCGGAUCAGGUAGGGAUACCCUCUGAACUUAAGC